rnacentral:rRNA from 1 species
UGGGGAAUUUUGGACAAUGGGCGAAAGCCUGAUCCAGCAAUGCCGCGUGUGUGAAGAAGGCCUUCGGGUUGUAAAGCACUUUUGUCCGGAAAGAAAUCCUUGGCUCUAAUACAGUCGGGGGAUGACGGUACCGGAAGAAUAAGCACCGGCUAACUACGUGCCAGCAGCCGCGGUAAUACGUAGGGUGCAAGCGUUAAUCGGAAUUACUGGGCGUAAAGCGUGCGCAGGCGGUUUGCUAAGACCGAUGUGAAAUCCCCGGGCUCAACCUGGGAACUGCAUUGGUGACUGGCAGGCUAGAGUAUGGCAGAGGGGGGUUAGAAUUCCACGUGUAGCAGUGAAAUGCGUAGAGAUGUGGAGGAAUACCGAUGGCGAAGGCAGCCCCCUGGGCCAAUACUGACGCUCAUGCACGAAAGCGUGGGGAGCAAACAGGAUUAGAUACCCUGGUAGUCCACGCCCUAAACGAUGUCAACUAGUUGUUGGGGAUUCAUUCCUUAGUAACGUAGCUAACGCGUGAAGUUGACCGCCUGGGGAGUACGGUCGCAAGAUUAAAACUCAAAUGAAUUGACGGGGUCAUAGCUGUUUCCU